GAUGAACGCUGGCGGCGUGCCUAAUACAUGCAAGUCGAGCGAACAGACGAGGAGCUUGCUCCUCUGACGUUAGCGGCGGACGGGUGAGUAACACGUGGAUAACCUACCUAUAAGACUGGGAUCACUUCGGGAAACCGGAGCUAAUACCGGAUAAUAUAUUGAACCGCAUGGUUCAUUAGUGAAAGACGGUUUUGCUGUCACUUAUAGAUGGAUCUCCGCCGCAUUAGCUAGUUGGUAAGGUAACGGCUUACGACGGCAACGAUGCGUAGCCGACCUGAGAGGGGGAUCGGCCACACUGGAACGGAGACACGGACCAGACUCCUACGGGAGGCAGCAGUAGGGAAUCUUCCGCAGUGGGCGAAAGCCUGACGGAGCAACGCCGCGUGAGUGAUGAAGGUCUUCGGAUCGUAAAACUCUGUUAUUAGGGAAGAACAAAUGUGUAAGUAACUAUGCACGUCUUGACGGUACCUAAUCAGAAAGCCACGGCUAACUACGUG
rnacentral:rRNA from 1 species